rnacentral:rRNA from 1 species
GACGAACGCUGGCGGCAUGCCUAAUACAUGCAAGUCGAGCGAACAGAUGAAGUGCUUGCACUUCUGACGUUAGCGGCGAACGGGUGAGUAACACGUAAGGAAUCUACCUAUAAGCGGGGGAUAACAUUCGGAAACGGGUGCUAAUACCGCAUAAUAUCUUCUUCCGCAUGGAAGAAGAUUGAAAGACGGCUCUGCUGUCACUUAUAGAUGACCUUGCGGUGCAUUAGUUAGUUGGUGGGGUAACGGCCUACCAAGACGAUGAUGCAUAGCCGACCUGAGAGGGUGAUCGGCCACAUUGGGACGGAGACACGGCCCAAACUCAUACGGGAGGCAGCAGUAGGGAAUCGUCCGCAAUGGGCGAAAGACUGACGGAGCAAUGCCGCGUGAGUGAAGAAGGACUUCGGGUCGUAAAACUCUGUUAUAAGAGAAGAACAAAUUGUAGAGUAACUGCUACAGUCUUGACGGUAUCUGAUCAGAAAGCCACGGCUAACUAAGUG